rnacentral:rRNA from 1 species
AACGAACGCUGGCGGCGCGCCUAACACAUGCAAGUCGAACGAGAAGGCGUAGCAAUACGCUUGUAGAGUGGCGAACGGGUGAGUAAUACGUGGGUGACCUACCCUCGAGUGGGGAAUAACCCGCCGAAAGGCGGGCUAAUGCCGCGUACGCUUCCGUCCUCACGGGGACGGAAGGAAAGCUGUACCGUGGGUACGGCGCUCAAGGGAUGGGGCUCACGGUCCUAUCAGCUUGUUGGUAGGUAACGGCCACCAAGGCUACGACGGGUAGCUGGUCUGAGAGGACGAUCAGCCACACUGGCACUGCGACACGGGCCAGACUCCUACGGGAGGCAGCAGUGAGGAAUAUUGCGCAAUGGGCGAAAGCCUGACGCAGCGACGCCGCGUGGGGAU